AAAAAAAUGAGAGUUUCCUUUCAAAACCCUCUUUCUCCGGCCGUUGAGUUUCCUCGGGCCUCCGUCGCGCCACCUCCAUGGCCAGUGGCCGGAGUCGCGUGAAACGGGCUUUUCAGCCCUCACUUCACGGCGUCCCCGAAGGCUAGGCCUUCUCAACCGUGGGACCGAGAGAAAAAGAAAAAGAUCCCUCUCCCUGUUCUACUCCGGUGACGGCGACGAAGGGUUCCGGCGCCGGCUUUCGAAGCAAACAGGUGUCAGAGGAGCUGGUGGAGCGGGUGAACGAAACAAUGGCGAUGGCAGAGGGUAGGUGACGGCGGCGGUGUGAAAGUCAGAAGGCAGGUGGUGCGGCGCAAUAGGGGGCUAGGGUUACUGUUUCUGUUUUGUAUUUUGGGCCGUUUGGGCCAUUAAGGUUUAGUUUUAGUUAGGCUUAAAUUUUGGGUUUAGGUUUGGGUUGGUUUAGGUGGGUAUUGGGUUGAUAUUGGUUUUGGGUGUUUGGGUUUUGGGUAGAUUUGGGUACUGGGCCGGGCAAAAUGGGUUGUACAUUAGUCUUACCAACACAAUCAAUGCCUCAUUGGCUAUAUUUUUUAUCA